GCUUACCCGAUUGGCGGGGGAACACAAGAACUUCCGCCGCCCUUGCGUUCGCCCUACCUUGAGUCGUUCUACAAUUCUCUGGCUAGCCUUUUACAUACAACUAAUGGGCUGCCGGAAAUACUGCAGAACUAGGGAGUGGGAGAGGUAGACGGUACUCGGGAGGAAGGGGUAAAAUCCUUUGAUCUCUUGAUGACCACCUGUGGCGAAGGCGGUCUACCAGAACACGUUCGACGGUGAGGGAUGAAAGCUGGGGGAGCAAACCGGAUUAGAUACCCGGGUAGUCCCAGCUGUAAACGAUGCAGACUCGGUGAUGCACUGGCUUUUGGCCAGUGCAGUGCCGCAGGGAAGCCGUUAAGUUUGCCGCCUGGGAAGUACGUACGCAAGUAUGAAACUUAAAGGGGUUGGGGGGGGAGCACAAAA
rnacentral:rRNA from 1 species